rnacentral:sRNA from 1 species
AUGCAGUACGUCUGCACUCCGGUUUUUGUGCGCCAUCCACGCUCGCCUGGCGGCUGCUCGCGGCUGUCGGUCAGUC